UUGUGACACCACCUGCUUCUCAGAUAUUCCUUCAGUACAUCUAGGGUUUGUAACUGGCCUUUAAUUCAGAGUAAACAGCCAUUUUUUAGGGAGAGCAAAGAGGAUGAAAGGAUCCGAGAUGAGGAGAAGGAAGCUGCCCUUCUGUCAUGGUAUAAAAAAGGAAGAAAUACAUGGUCCACUGGAGAGCUCAGUGAAUCCUGGGAACCUAUUGAGGUUGAUGUUUAACUGGACCUCAAGCCAUUCCUCUCACUGCCCAUCCUCCUAAGUAUGAUGUAUGGCCUGAAGAAAUAAUCAUGGUGGGAACACAGCUUUUCUGAUGUCUGGAAAUUUUUGGAUAAACUAAGGAUUUGGAAGUUCAUCAUUGGAAGUAGGUACGUAAUAUUUACAUUUUUAUAUUCAACGUUAGGUGGGACCCUUGGGUUGCCAAAAUCAUUGCAAAAAAACAUGAAAUUGGAAAACAGAUUUUUUCACUUCACAUUCAGGAAUAUAUAAAGUCACCUAUCAAGGAAUGUACAAUGAGAAACUGUAAUGAAAUAUGAAUUCAAUUAAAGGAUUGUAGGGAAAAUGCUGGCCUUUGGGAAACAGAGAUAACCUAGGAUAUUGAACUGUAUGUCAUAGUAAUGGACCUGGUAAUAAAAUUAUUAUCCAGAGGAAUCUCUUCCACUCCAUGUUCCGAGAUCUUUUCUACCCAUGCAAAGCUCCUGAUUAUCUUUUCCUUUCAGAGCAUGUAACCACUAAGGAAAUAAAGAGAAGUUUCUAGCUUUAAAGACAUGUAGUAUGAAAAGGUUUCCAUUGUUUCACAGGAGACAAACCUUGCAAGGGCACCCUCGAAUCUGGUCAUUGAAAGGAAAACACUUUAGCAGGUAGGCCAUGGCAAUUCUCAGUGACAUCACCAAUAGGCCUAUCUAAAAAAAUCUGUUGUAUCCUGGAGAUCCCUAGUUUCUUCUGUGAUGUAACAAGUGUUGUCCUGACAGAAGUUGCCUCUCCAGUAGUCCUUCAGUACCUCUAGGGUUUACUAUUUGGCCUCUAAUUCAGCAUAAACAGCCUUUGGGAAGGAGAAAAAAGAGGAUGAAGUGAUCAAAGAUGGGAAGAAGGAAGCUGGCCUUCUGCUUUGUUAUAAAAAAAAAGAAAUAUGUGGUCCAUGGGAAAUCUCAGUCAUUUCUGGGUAGUGGUUGAGAAGGUUUGCUGAAAAGAUAGUAUUGAUUGGAGCCUUCCAAAUAUGGUAAUAAGGAGAUGGGAGCCUCUCAGAUGCAUCUGGACUUCCCUGCUAGUUAUGGUUCCUGGAAGUCGGAGAAUUUAUAUCAUUCAUGUCUUUUUUCCAAAGCCAAGUGUUGGGAAGGGCACAGUUUUCUUUAAAGCUGAUGGUUUUGGUCCUAAGGAAGAAGGGAAAGACAAGUAUUGUGUCCUCAGCUCAGAGUAAAUUACUCCGUGCUUUGGAUUCCUAGAGUGCAGAUUGUGUCUGACACUGAUAUCUGGGAGAGAAAAUUGCUUCUAUUUGAGAUUUCACCAUCUUCGUCUUUGAACUAGUAUUACUCUGACUACCAUUCCCUGACAGUGACCCUUUAGAUUUCUGAGUCAAAGGGUGUAAUUAAUUGGCAGUUUUCUUUUCUUUUAUUUCUUUCAUUUUUUUCUUUUUUAGCAAAAUAUAUAGCUUUUUUAAAUUUGAUAUUUCUAUAUUUACAUUACAAAUGUUAUUCCUUUUCCAAUUUCCUGUCUCUAAGAUCCCUAACCAGUCCACCUCCCAUUCUACUAUAAUCCCCUUACUACCCCUUUGCAUUCCCAUGAACUGUGAAUCAAAUAUAGGGAGGACCAAGAGCUUCUACUUCUGUUGGUUCCCAAGAAGGCCAUCUGGUACUAAAUAUGCAGUAGGAGCCAUAGGUAUGUCCAUGUACAUUCGUUGAA